CGGUAGCUAUGUUGGUAAAAGCACUCAUCUGACGCACAAGAGUCGUGAGUUCAAAUCUCACUUG
rnacentral:tRNA from 1 species